rnacentral:rRNA from 1 species
CAUGUAGGCGGUUAGGUAAGUCUGAUGUGAAAUCCCGGGGCUCAACCCCGGACGUGCAUUGGAUACUGCUAGACUAGAGUACAGGAGGGGUGAGCGGAAUUCCAGGUGUAGAGGUGAAAUUCGUAGAUAUCUGGAGGAACAACGGAGGCGAAGGCGGCUCACUGGACUGUAACUGACGUUGAGAUGCGAAAGUGUGGGGAGCGAACG